rnacentral:lncRNA from 1 species
AUGUUCUUUAGCCACCCCAUUACCCAUGUAAAGGAGAUUCGCAUCCCAAAUAAGCCAUCUGUACACAUGUCCUCCUCUUCCCACUUUGGGAGGCAUGGGGACCCAGAUGAAGCCAGUGCUAACUUCAAAGAGGCGUUCUGGCCGUUACUGCAAGCUCUUUCUACCCUGCUAAUGAAGAACUGGUUUGUUGGGUUUGAGACUUCAUGCCUUCAUUUCCCAAAUGCUCUACCCUCGAGGGCAUCACUAACAACGUGGAGACAAGCAGAAAAUGGCCACUCCCAGGAGAAAGUCAUAGACUGGGUGAGAGUCAGUCACAACUGGGCCCCGGCCACAUCUCAGCUCAUUUUCUCCCUAGUACAGUUCUGCCUGCCAAUUUGGGAACAGAAGAAAAGGCUUGGCUGUGAAUCUGAACACAUGAAGCAGAACCUGUGGGAACCAGGUCAUUAUAAACAAGACAUGUGCCAAGAUUCCAUCUCCUUCCUGCACCUCACGUCCAGACGGAAAACCUGCGGGCCAGGCCCUUUAGCACCUGUGCAUUUCACCUGGACCGCCAGAGGGCGCUGUUGCAAACAUCCAAAAAUCCAGUACAAUUUGGGAAGAGAAGGAAGAAAAAUUUAACCAGUUGAUUCCAAAGGAGAAAGCAAGCAAAAUUAAUCAGGGGAGGAAGGAGAAGCCUGAGAGCCUGGCGGGAAGAUGGAGUGCUUCAGGCUCAGGGGGAGACCCUGCUUCAAGCGAAUACAGUAGAGAGUAACACGGGAGGAGGAUGCCCAGCGUCAGCUCCACGGAGGCCCACUCCUUACACACCCGCGUUUGCACACGCACAAAUAAAAAAUAAGCUAAAGGGUGAUAGAGCA